AUGGGAAGAGAAGACAGCUUCCUGUCUCAUCUCACCCGCCCUCGCUCCCUCCCUCCCUGUGCUCUAGGAGGAAGAGGACCAGAGGACCCCACCAGAGGAGUAAGCAGAUCACCGCAGUUCAGAGGCCAAGCUGCGCCCAGUUCUCAGGCUACAGAGUUGAAGCAGCGUGGGCCUGCUGUCCCUUGCGUACAUUUGUGCAAGCCAGACACGUGGUCUCGGAGGAAAGCAGGAGCUGUGGAGUCACCUGCCCUCUGCCCAGGCGAGGCGAGGUGCCCUAGUGGGCCUCCACCUUAGACGGUUAACUCCCAUCACCCUGCUUGAAAUGACUGUUAACACGCCAUCUCUUCCACUCACUCACCAAUUCCUCAGGGGCAGCGCCUGAACAUAUUCUUCUUUUAAACUCUAGCUCCUUGACCAGUGUCUAGUGUACAGAAACUUAUCGGUAAGAUUGUUUUUCUUUUAAAAAUAUUUCUAACAUGAAAAAUUUCAAAUAUAUACAUGUACCCAUUAUCCCACUUCAACAACUGUCAAUUCAUGGCCAAUAAUCUGUCCUUUAUACUCUCAAUUUCCCUACUUUCUCAGACCAUUAUUUAAAAGUAAAUCUUAGAUAUAAAUACAUAGAUGUGGGUAUUUUGGUAUGUAUAAGACAUUGUAAGGAAAGAAAAAGAAAAAUUUAACUGCUAGGUCUCUCUCACUGUCUUAGAAAUGCCUAGUGGGUGGGGGUGGGCAGAGUGGGGAGGAGGAGCUUUUUGUGGAAAUCUAAGGCUUUUGUGCAACAAUUUCCAAUAAUGAAAAACAACUGGAAAGGGAAAGAGGAAGGAAUAGUGCAUACUAUGUGCCAAGCAUUGUGCAUUAUUAUUAGAUUUCAUCAUUCUUAGAGAUACAGGUGUUAUUUUCCCAUUUUAAGAAUAAGAUUCAGAGAGAGAGAGAGAGAGAGAGAGAGUGAGCUGAAUCUAAGGCAAAGCUGGGAUUGGAACCCAGCUCUGUGUGGCUCCAGGGGCUGACGCAGUGCAGACCCAACAAACCUAACCCUGCUCUGAGGCUACUAAUGAGAAUUUCUUGUCUUCUUCUCCCCCUCAUAGGAAAUCCAGCUUACUUCACAGGGUCCUGGGGACAAACUCUAUCGGCCAUUUCAACCAUAGGAGGAAGAAGGGCUUACGUGCCCAGAAUGAAAAAGGGGGGCAGGGAUUAUGUUCCUUAUCAAAACCAAGGCCAUUUCCUCCUUGGAAGGUGCUAGUCUCAGGAAGUGACGGCCAGGAGUCCUGAAGUACUUGUAAAUAAAUUUGUACAGGGUUAAACA
rnacentral:lncRNA from 1 species